UAGGGAAUCUUCCACAAUGGACGCAAGUCUGCUGGAGCAACGCCGCGUGAGUGAAGAAGGUUUUCGGAUCGUAAAGCUCUGUUGUUGGUGAAGAAGGAUAGAGGCAGUAACUGGUCUUUAUUUGACGGUAAUCAACCAGAAAGUCACGGCUAACUACGUGCCAGCAGCCGCGGUAAUACGUAGGUGGCAAGCGUCGUCCGGAUUUAUUGGGCGUAAAGCGAGCGCAGGCGGAAUGAUAAGUCUGAUGUGAAAGCCCACGGCUCAACCGUGGAACGGCAUCGGAAACGAUCAUGCUUGAGUGCAGAAGAGGAGAGUGGAAUUCCAUGUGUAGCGGUGGAAUGCGUAGAUAUAUGGAAGAACACCAGUGGCGAAGGCGGCUCUCUGGUCUGCAACUGACGCUGAGGCUCGAAAGCAUGGGUAGCGAACAGG
rnacentral:rRNA from 1 species